UACGUAGGGGGCGAGCGUUGUCCGGAUUUAUUGGGCGUAAAGAGCUCGUAGGCGGCUUGGCAAGUCGGGUGUGAAACCUCCAGCUCAACCUGGAGACGCCACUCGAUACUGCCAUGCUAGAGUCCGGUAGGGGACCACGGAAUUCCUGGUGUAGCGGUGAAAUGCGCAGGAUAUCAGGAGGAACACCGGUGGCGAAGGCGGAUCUCUGGGCCAUUACUGACGCUGAGGAGCGAAAGCGUGGGGAGCGAACAGG
rnacentral:rRNA from 1 species